UGGGGAAUUUUGCACAAUGGACGAAAGUCUGAUGCAGCAACGCCGCGUGAGUGAAGAAGGCCUUUGGGUUGUAAAGCUCUUUCGGCUGGGAAAAAGGGUUUCACGGUAAAUAAUCGUGAGAUUUGAUGGUACCAGAAGAAGAAGCACCUGCUAACUUCGUGCCAGCAGCAGCGGUAAUACGAAGGGUGCAAGCGUUGUUCGGAAUUAUUGGGCGUAAAGCGCUCGUAGGCGGGUUGGUAAGUUGGUUGUGAAAUCCCUGGGCUUAACCCGGGAACUGCAAUCAAAACUGCCGAUCUUGAAUGCUUGAGAGGGUGGUGGAAUUCCAGGUGUAGAAGUGAAAUUCGUAGAUAUCUGGAGGAACACCGGAGGCGAAGGCGGCCACCUGGCAAGACAUUGACGC
rnacentral:rRNA from 1 species